CUGUGACAGAUCAGUAUAUGUCCCAAUUAAUCAAAGAAUUGCGAGGGGCUGAUUUUCGGAGGUAAAGACGAGCGUGCUGAUUUUCGGAGAUACAAUAAUAUGUUGAAGCUGCAACAUUUUGUAAAUUCUGCUGAACAGGGGCUUUUUUGAAUCUGCAAGAGAUAAAUGUUGGUCUGCUACCACUUAGUGAUCCAUCUCUUGAG
rnacentral:misc_RNA from 1 species